rnacentral:rRNA from 1 species
GCAAGUCGAAUGAGAAGCGGUCUUCGGAUAGUGGAACAUGGCGGACGGGUGAGUAACACGGAGAUAAUCUGCCCUCGAGUUGGGGAUACCCCAUGGAAACAUCGAAUAAUACCGACUGAAAUCUUUUGUUAUUAAGGUCGAUUGAUGAAAGGAGCUUCGGCUCCGCUUGAGGAUGAGUCUGCGGCUCAUUAGCUAGUUGGUGGGGUAACGGCCUACCAAGGCAAUGAUGAGUAGCCGGCCUGAGAGGGUGAUC